UUAUACUGAUAUAUCACUAAUGACGUUAAUGUAGUUGCCAGUAAUUAUUUGUUGCAUAGAUAGCUGUUAAACUUGUUUUAAAGACGUACACGCCUAGAUGCCCGGCCAUGUAACGUGAAACUAUUAAACAGACAAGGGAAGGAGAAAGAGGAUAGAAAAGGAGAGAGAGAGACAGAGAGAGAGAGAAAGAGAGAAGCAGCUGCCGAGUUAACGCCCAGCUUGGUGUUAUCCACCUCUGCCUACGUGUUGGGAAGAUACGAAGGAAUGGAAUAAAAGGAUGGGCAGCUAGAAAGAGAAUAUUAAAACUAGGCUAAUGAUCCUCUCUCUAAAUGUCCUUAAACGUUUGUCAUAUCCAAGAAUAAAAGGAAGAACGAAAGAAUCGUAGAAACAAUAGAGGUAUUAUAUAUAUAGGUUGCAAAAUAAUUCUCAAGCAAUGCGUGGUGUUAUGUGAUAAGACCGACAAAUGUAAUUGUAAGGAAUCAAUCGAAAUACGUUAAUACAGGCGGCAAAAUGAUUCUCGAAGUGAUACACGGUGUUAUGUGAU
rnacentral:misc_RNA from 1 species